rnacentral:rRNA from 1 species
AUGGCGAUGGAGACCAGCCUUGAGACGAUGCCCAAGAUGGAGGAUCUCGUCGCCGCCUUCGCCGCCUCCGUCACCAUGUCUGGCAGCAGCAACAACAGCCUCCCUGCGCCGCGCCCUGCUGCCACAGCUUCGACGUCGACGUCUACAAGCCCGGAGAUGAAGAUGGUGCUCAACAUGGAGGAGCUGGUCGCCGCCUUCGCCGCCGCCUCGGUUGGCCUCGCCGCCCCACCACCCAAUGCGCCGGCGACCGUGCCUUCCCAUACUAGGACGAUGAUGAAGACGGAAGAAGAAGAACGCGAGCCGGCCAAGGGGGAGGAGGCGUGCGUCCUGCGCGUGCGGUUCCCGGACGGCCGCGUCACGUGCAGGAGCUUCGGCGCCGGACGCCCCGUCGCGGCGCUGUUCAGGUACUGCCGCUCGGUGCUGCUCGGGGAAGGCGGCGCGGGGCGGAGGCCGUUCCGGCUCGUGAAGCUCGCCGGCGGCGCAUCCGACGAGGUGCGCGCCGGCUCGGCCUCGUUCCGCGAUCUCGGGCUGCACCGCUCCACCGUGCACGUGGUUCUGGCGUGA